rnacentral:rRNA from 1 species
UACGUAGGGUGCAAGCGUUGUCCGGAAUUAUUGGGCGUAAAGAGCUCGUAGGCGGCUUGUCACGUCGGAUGUGAAAGCCUGGGGCUUAACCCCGGGUCUGCAUUCGAUACGGGCAGGCUAGAGUGUGGUAGGGGAGAUCGGAAUUCCUGGUGUAGCGGUGAAAUGCGCAGAUAUCAGGAGGAACACCGGUGGCGAAGGCGGAUCUCUGGGCCAUUACUGACGCUGAGGAGCGAAAGUGUGGGGAGCGAACAGG